UACGAAGGGAGCUAGCGUUGUUCGGAAUCACUGGGCGUAAAGCGCACGUAGGCGGAUGUGUCAGUCAGGGGUGAAAUCCCGGAGCUCAACUUCGGAACUGCCUUUGAUACUGAGGGGCUUGAGUCCGGGAGAGGUGAGUGGAACUGCGAGUGUAGAGGUGAAAUUCGUAGAUAUUCGCAAGAACACCAGUGGCGAAGGCGGCUCACUGGCCCGGUACUGACGCUGAGGUGCGAAAGCGUGGGGAGCAAACAGG
rnacentral:rRNA from 1 species